AGAGUUUGAUCCUGGCUCAGGACGAACGCUGGCGGCGUGCUUAACACAUGCAAGUCGAGCGAUGAAGCUUCCUUCGGGAAGUGGAUUAGCGGCGGACGGGUGAGUAACACGUGGGUAACCUGCCUCAAAGUGGGGGAUAGCCUUCCGAAAGGAAGAUUAAUACCGCAUAACAUAAGAGAAUCGCAUGAUUUUCUUAUCAAAGAUUUAUUGCUUUGAGAUGGACCCGCGGCGCAUUAGCUAGUUGGUAAGGUAACGGCUUACCAAGGCAACGAUGCGUAGCCGACCUGAGAGGGUGAUCGGCCACAUUGGAACUGAGACACGGUCCAGACUCCUACGGGAGGCAGCAGUGGGGAAUAUUGCGCAAUGGGGGAAACCCUAGACCGCARCACACCGCCCGCGUGGGUUGAUGAAKGUYUUUCGRAUUGUAAAGCCCUGUUUUUCUGGGACGAUAAUGACGGUACCAGAGGGAGGAAGCCACGGCUAACUACGUGCCAGCAGCCGCGGUAAUACGUAGGUGGCGAAGCGUUGUCCGGGAUUUACUGGGCGUAAAGGGUGCGUAGGCGGAUGUUUAAGUGGGAUGUGAAAUCCCCGGGCUUAACCUGGGGGCUGCAUUCCAAACUGGAUAUCUAGAGUGCAGGAGAGGAAAGCGGAAUUCCUAGUGUAGCGGUGAAAUGCGUAGAGAUUAGGAAGAACACCAGUGGCGAAGGCGGCUUUCUGGACUGUAACUGACGCUGAGGCACGAAAGCGUGGGUAGCAAACAGGAUUAGAUACCCUGGUAGUCCACGCCGUAAACGAUGGAUACUAGGUGUAGGGGGUAUCAACUCCCCCUGUGCCGCAGUUAACACAAUAAGUAUCCCGCCUGGGGAGUACGGUCGCAAGAUUAAAACUCAAAGGAAUUGACGGGGGCCCGCACAAGCAGCGGAGCAUGUGGUUUAAUUCGAAGCAACGCGAAGAACCUUACCUGGACUUGACAUCCCUUGCAUAGCCUAGAGAUAGGUGAAGCCCUUCGGGGCAAGGAGACAGGUGGUGCAUGGUUGUCGUCAGCUCGUGUCGUGAGAAUGUUAGGUUAAGUCCUGCAACGAGCGCAACCCUUGUUAUUAAGUUGCUACCAUUAAGUUGAGCCACUYUUAWUGAGAACUGCCUGGKUAACCAGGAGGAAGGUGGGGAUGACGUCAAAUCAUCAUGCCCCUUAUGUCCAGGGCUACACACGUGCUACAAUGGUAGGUACAAUAAGACGCAAGACCGUGAGGUGGAGCAAAACUUAUAAAACCUAUCUCAGUUCGGAUUGUAGGCUGCAACUCGCCUACAUGAAGCUGGAGUUGCUAGUAAUCGCGAAUCAGAAUGUCGCGGUGAAUACGUUCCCGGGCCUUGUACACACCGCCCGUCACACCAUGAGAGCUGAUAACACCCGAAGUCCGUGAGGUAACCGUAAGGAGCCAGCGGCCGAAGGUGGGAUUAGUGAUUGGGGUGAAGUCGUAACAAGGUAGCC
rnacentral:rRNA from 1 species